rnacentral:lncRNA from 1 species
GCUAAACUAUCUGACUGCCCACACCCUUUCUCUGGACUUGUUUUAACCUUUUUCAGUUCCGCUCCAAGUGCUCUAUGGUGUGGUUGUUUCGUAGAACUGGUGCUUAAAGACUAAUGUCUCUCCCUGUUGUGCCUGCUGGGUUUCUAAAGAGGAAACCAAGUAGCUAAUAGUCUAUUUAUUUUUCCAACAGUCUCAGGAAACAAACUCAUGCAGGGCAUCUAUCUGCAUAAAAGAAGUAGUAGCUCCAUUGCUCUAGCUAAAGGGUAAAGCCACAUUGGUAUGCACUGCACAAAAGUAGAGGCUGACUUUAAGUCAUAAUUUGCAUUUUCUCCUUGCAGAGCUAUUUAUCUGGAGAUGUUAGAGUUCCCUGUAUGUGGGAAACUCUCAUUUAGCAUUGUAUAAAUGGACUCUGGCUGAAUCUGUGGAGCUCAGGCAGAUAUCUAAAAGUGGGCAACAUGUUCUCUGGAAUAGCUUUCCAUAAUUCUUUAACAACUGGUACCUGGUCCUGGUAUGAAGGAACGGUUGAACUCAAUUAUCUCCCCAUGAGAGAAUUCCAGAAGAGAUGGCUUAAACCCCAAUCUCAGAGGUUUGAAGGAAAUUCACAUCUCCAGAAGGGACUGUGGAGGACAAUGUCGCUCAACUAUUUUAAGUUAGCAAAAUGUCUCCCCUAGUCAGAGUAGGGAAAAUGUAAGGUAAAUAUUUAAACAAGCGAAAGGAGGCAGUAAGCAAGAAGACAAAACCAACUCUACCUUCAAAAUCAUACAAAGAAAGAGGCUGGAUUCUAUUGGAAUUAAAUUGAUGGAAAGGUCCUGGACCAGGCUGUGUCCUCCCCAUGUGGCUGCAGUGGACACUGGACAAGACCCACUGGUUUAUUUUGUGACUUUCACUCAUGUGAUGCCAUUUAUCAAGGUCACAUGGCAAGCUUUUGGGAAAAUCCACCCAGAUUGCUGGUCUUUACUUCAUUCCACUGUGGUCACACAGCUUAGCUACCAAGGGAUUGGAGUAAGAAAAGUGUGCAGUGGGAGGCUGGGGUUGAUCGUGGAUUUAUUUGGUAAUAAAGGUCCUUGGGCCACAUGUGCUCUGAAUACAGUGAUCUCACACAGACUUGCUCCCAUUCAGGGACCUUAUUACAUAUAUGUCUCUCUUUGCCUCAUGGUCAUUCUUGUGUCACCAACCAGACUCCAAGUUUCUUGAAAACAGGGAUGGUAUCUCAGACUUAGACAUUCCCUGGUAUCUAACACAGUACUGGGCUCAAUAAAUGCUACAUCGACUUGAGAGGGCCUGACAAAGGCUGGGCACAGUGGCUCACGCCUGCAACCCCAGCACUUUAGGAGGCUGAGGUGGGAAGAUCACUGGACCCCAGGAGUUGGAGACAGCCUGGGCCACAUGGCGAAACCACAUCUUUAAAAAAAAGAAAGAAAGGAAGGAAGGAAGGAAGGAAGGAAGGAAGGAAGGAAGGAAGGAAGGAAGAAAGGAAAGAAAGAAAGAAAGAAAGAAAUUGAGACACAGAAGCCAAAAAUAACAAAAAUGAUGUUUGAUAGAAAACCCAUUUGAGGUAAUUUAUAAGUAAGAGAAAAAAAUUAAAAAAUAGAAAGGGCCUGACAAACAUGCAUAUUAGUUCCUAUGGUCAGCCUGAGCCACAGAGGGGCCGAAGGCAGAAGGAGCAGGAAGAUCUGAGAUGCUUCAGCAGAGAAGGGGACCUCUGAGGAGACUGGAUCGAAGAACCAGCU